rnacentral:lncRNA from 1 species
GUCCGUGUUGGGGAGCAGGCUGUGACCCAAACCCAGAGGCUCUUCCUAGCAUGCAGCUAAGGCAGUGCUUUUGGGUGCUCAGCGACCAGUGUCCCCUGGUGAAGGAGAGGCUCCAGGCCCCACUGGCUGUGACCGCCCCCUCUGUCUGUGCUCUCCCCAGCUACAGCUCAGUGGCCUCCUGGGUCACUCACCUGCGGGCGUCCUUCAGAAGGGCCAACAGAGCGCUGUGGCUCUCUGGGCUCUUCCUCGUACUGUUCGCCGGGUUGAUGAGCGUCCUCGCGGGUCAGCUCUUCCAGUCCGCCGUGGAGGCCGCGCCCACGCAGGAAGGGGACUCCUGGAUGUCUCUGGAACACAUCUUCUGGCCAUUGACCAGACUUGGGCACGAUGGACCGCCACCAGUGUGACUGCCACACAGCUCAGUGUCCCCUUGGAUUUUAACAUCUCCCUCUGAGAUUUGAAAUUAGUAACUUUUUAGUAACUACAGUGCAGGGCUAGGGUCCUUGGCAGCUGAGAUAUUUUAAUUCCCCAACAAAAGCACAGGGAAGGAACUUCGGGAAGGAGCCCCCCCCCAGGGUAUUUUAAUGAGCUUUCUGAGUGAGAGACAUAAGACUUUAUUGAAAUGUAUCAAAUAAAGGCCACUCGGAUCUUUGUGCAGUA